rnacentral:rRNA from 1 species
UACGUAGGUGACAAGCGUUGUCCGGAUUUACUGGGCGUAAAGAGCGCGCAGGCGGUCGAUCAAGUCGAGUGUGAAAGCCCCCGGCUCAACUGGGGAGGGUCACGCGAUACUGCUCGACUUGAAGGCAGGAGAGGGAAGUGGAAUUCCCGGUGUAGUGGUGAAAUGCGUAGAUAUCGGGAGGAACACCAGUGGCGAAGGCGACUUCCUGGCCUGUUCUUGACGCUGAGGCGCGAAAGCUAGGGUAGCAAACGGG